GUGGUUCAGCAGAGGCCGGGCGGGAGGCGGCGCCGCUGGGAGCUCCGGGGCGGCGGCGGCGCUCCGUGCACAGGGCCGGGGAGGGGAAGGGGCCGAGGGGGAGGGGAAGGGGCCCGCGCGCCGCCGCUCGGCGUCUCCUCAGUGGGCCCGGGGGGACGGUAGGCCGGCGCCGGUCGCGCGCCUCGCCGUGCCCUGCCGGCCCCGUCCCUUCACAUGCCCCCCGGCCUGCCCGCCUGCGCCGGGCCGCUGCGAGGGACGGAGCCCGAACCGCCAACUCCAAUGGCGGCGGGCGCCGGGCUGCGGUGACGUCAGACUCUGAGCGCGGAGCACGCCGGGAGAGCGCGGCCCGGCGCGGGCAGGCGGGAGGGAGGGGAUGGCGCGCGGCGCGGAGCCGCACCUGUCGCGCAUGCGCGGGGCGGCGCGGCGGGCUGAGNNNNNNNNNNNNNNNNGGGGGGGGGGGGGGGGGGGGGGGGAUGGCGGCUCGUUUCCUCGCUAUUCCCCCUGCUCCCCCCCUUUUUUGGGGGCUGGGAGGGUCUCGGUGCGCGGUCAGACGUUGGCUGCCGGCACUGAUGUGAGAUCCGUGAGGAAAAGGAAGAGCUGCGGGCCGGGAGCGCAGCCUUCAGUGCGAGCAGCUGCUGCCGCAGAGCGCCUAUGGAGCAUCGCGCCAGCGCGCCUGCUGGCUGCCCGCGCUCUGCCCUGGCUUUUUGUCGGGUGCCUGAGGUCUGUUUGGAGGAUGGGGAUGUCCUUAUUUUGGCCAGAAACCUGUUUUUGUGUGUGUGUUUUUCUUGAAAGUGUCAAAAUACCUGCAGAGCUUUAGUUUGACUUGUCACUUCACUUUCUUCUGCUGCGGUGACAUCAGUAGAAGUACUUCUGAGCUUUCCUUUGUUGGUGAAAUGCUCUCUCCAAAACCUGAGCGUCUCCCCACAGAAAGCUAACCUUAAACCUGUCAUGAAGAUUGUGUGAUGUUAAAAGAAUGGUAUAUUAACAGUAACAGCAACAAGAAGACCCACAGCUGAUAAUCACUGCCAGAAUCAGUCCAAUUUUUAAAACUGUCUUAGGAGCUGCCUUCGAGUUCUUCUGAAAUUUAAUAUUGCUUUUCCCUCCCUAAGAGGCUUGGUGGAUAGGGAAAUGAAAAUACCGAAAAAGAAAAGCUCAUUCUUGACACUGCCCAAGGUGCCUCACAAACCUGACAAGUUACUCAGCUUCUGUGUGUUCAACUUCACCACUUUUAAAAUGGAAGUGAAGAAUAUCUGUGAUGUAUUUUGGGAUAUUUGCCCUCGAAGCAAAGCAAACAUGGAACCGUAUCUCCAGUCACCAUCACCCCAGGGCUUUUCCCUAGAAGCAAUGUAAUUGCAAAGGCUAGACAACUCAGUACACCUCUAUCACAAUGCUGCAGUGCAUCAGAACUACCUUCCAUGUGCCACAGUCAGAUUUUUUAAGCCUUCCCUGACAUCUGCCUUCAGACUGCUGACAUCUAGGCAUGGCUAUGAAAUAGGCAGAUUGAGGAGCCUCCCAACACUUCCCGAGGUCACAUUUAGAAGAAAGUUGAUUAGAAGUAGUAGAACACCGGGUCAUAGCUUGUAAAAUACUUCCUGAGAACAACUAAUGAUUCUUACCUAUGGACAGGUGAUUUGCAGCUACCCAUUAAUAGAGCCCUCACACAACCUUUGUAAGAGGGAUUUGUACAUUCUGUACUUCACGUUUUUACGAUAUAUUCUUCAAGAACAGGACAUGUGGAGCAGAAGAGAAUGUGAAUUAUAUAUAAAUUCAUUAUGGACAAAUUAAAAAGAACCAGUUCCACAUGUUACAGUUCUAUAAAUUUUAUAUAUAAGUACUGCCCCCUACUGCUCAAGGGAUUUUCAUAAACGUAUUUAAUUUUUAAAAGUUUCAACUUUUUAAAUCAAAAUGUCUGUAAAAGCUUGCCUGUAAGAAAAGGACGUGUGGAUCUUUUUUCUUAAAACAAAAAUCUCAAUUUAUCAUUUUUUACAAGCAUAAGACACCUGUGCCCAUUCUUUUGCUAAUGGGCAAAUUAUGCUUUUCCAAAUACAUUCUUCAGAAUAAGCUGCAUACAUCUUCUCACAAGCACAAAAGCCAGGGAGAUAAACACAUUUCCAAGUAAUUGCACCUUUCAAAACUGACCUUAAAAUUCUUUAUUCUGAAUUAUGACUACAGGAAUGCAAAGGAAUAGAAAGAUUUCAAAUUGUAGAGACGUGAUGGUAACAAGAGUUGGUGUUAAUUCCCAAAUUAAAGGCAAAGUAAUCAAGCACUCUUCAGUAAAUUCUUGUUGAUAUUAUCUGCUCAUUUUGUAAUACAUUUUCUUGGAAAUUUUAAGGUGCAAAACAUGCUUGUGUGAGAGCAAGGUGAAAAAGAUAAAAUGAUGCCAUUAUAGUCAGAGCUUUACUGCUAGUGCUGAGGCCAUCACCUUUCUAGGAACUGCUGUCGUGCCCUUGUGUGACGUACUCUGAAAUAUUUGAUGUAUGUCACAACUUACAUCCAAACAACCUCCUUUUAGAAUGUGGUUGUGUUUGUCUCUGUUUUUGUAUCAAUAGAAAUUAAAGAAAAAAAAAAAUCGUAGUUGCACAAAAUGUUAUCAGUUUAGGAAAAAUUGUGCUUUUCAUUGUCAUGGUAUAGAUCAGUGUCACCUGCUCUGGUUUGAAAGCACUUCCUCUUAAUACUCGUUGCACAAGUGAUAUUUGGACCUGAUUCAGCAGGCAAUAAAAUCCCUGUUUCCUUGUGGCUUCUGGAAAGC
rnacentral:lncRNA from 1 species